CAAGUUUGGAAAGUGUAAACUUUACUAUGCUAUCAUUGGGCAGGAGAAAAUUAGAACUAUUGUAUAGUCAUCUUUCAUAUGCAUCAAACUGAAUACUUAAGUUAAAUUGCUUAGAGCUGGGAGGCUCCCCGACAACGAGGGCGAUUCGAGCCGGCUAGUUCGAGGCAGACAAGUAUUUCGAAAUCCGCUUCCUUCACUAGAGAGGUCAGUUGCCACUUCUGCCUGCACUGUUGGUUUUGUGAGAUUAGCGUAGAUCCGCACGUUGAUUCUGUGACAUCCAAUGGAUUACAUACUUUCCAUUACAAACCUUUGCACAAAUCUCAUUGAUUGAUCAGUCGAGGAGCGGAGUUUGUAAUAUAGGUCCGGAAAAAAGAAACACGAUGUUAACGAAAUUGCGUUUGCAAUUUCUGAACCUCCUUCCUAAUUUCGUUGUAUCCAUAAGACAUCCGAGUUC